GAUGAAGAACGCAGCGAAGUGCGAUAAGUAAUGUGAAUUGCAGAAUUCAGUGAAUCAUCGAAUCUUUGAACGCACAUUGCGCCCGCCAGCAUUCUGGCGGGCAUGCCUGUUCGAGCGUCAUUUCAACCCUCGAGCCCCCCCGGGGGCCUCGGUGUUGGGGGACGGCACACCAGCCGCCCCCGAAAUGCAGUGGCGACCCCGCCGCAGCCUCCCCUGCGUAGUAGCACACACCUCGCACCGGAGCGCGGAGGCGGUCACGCCGUAAAACGCCCAACUUUCUUAGAGUUGACCUCGGAUCAGGUAGGAAUACCCGCUGAACUUAAGCAUAUCAAUAAGCGGAGGA
rnacentral:misc_RNA from 1 species